UACUUUGUUUAUGGAGCUGCCUGUUCCGAGGUUGAAAUAGACUGCCUGACGGGGGAUCAUAAGAACAUCAGAACAGACAUUGUCAUGGAUGUUGGCUGCAGUAUAAAUCCAGCCAUUGACAUAGGCCAGAUUGAAGGUGCAUUUAUUCAAGGCAUGGGACUUUAUACAAUAGAGGAACUGAAUUAUUCUCCCCAGGGCAUUCUGCACACUCGUGGUCCAGACCAAUAUAAAAUCCCUGCCAUCUGUGACAUGCCCACGGAGUUGCACAUUGCUUUGUUGCCUCCUUCUCAAAACUCAAAUACUCUUUAUUCAUCUAAGUGAGUGCAGCACGACAGGAGAGAGGCCUGCAUGGACCCUUGACCCUUAAUAGUCCACUGACCCCGGAGAAGAUUAGGAUGGCCUGUGAAGACAAGUUCACAAAAAUGAUUCCGAGAGAUGAACCUGGAUCCUACGUUCCUUGGAAUGUACCCAUCUGAAUCAAAUGCAAACUUCUGGAGAAAACAGAGUGCCUCUUCCCAGAUGGCAAUCUGUCCUAUCUCUGUGCUGGAAGAUGCUAGAUCUGAAAGACAGAGUUUCCACAGUUCAGAAAUCAUCCCACAGUGUUGCUUUUCUAUGGAGCUGAUUUAAAGUAUUCCAUUUAGAUUUGAUAGAUAUGCUUAAGCAAUCUAUAAAUCAUUUUCAAUGUUAUAAACACUAAUUGGUUUCCUCUAGGGUGAUAUCCGUCAUUACUCUGUCUCUUCAAUCCAUCCAGCUAAAUGGAAUAGGUGAUGACUUGCAUGUGACUCCUACUUGGCUUCUAUCCACCAACAGAAAUUAUACCAUAUAGUGAAAGGCAAUUUUCUAAAUAAUUUCAUUACUAAUAUGAACUGUGAAGUUGUCAUUUUUUCAUUUGUCCUUUUCUGCUAUCACCUUCCUCUUGUCAGAAUGAAUAUAGACACUGUAUCUAAGUGGGACCAAAGAAAAAAUAGCGAACUUUCACCAAAGUUUUCAUGAAAACCCAAAAGCUUUAAAAGUUACUAUCAAGAAAUUGAAAGGAAACCCACAGAAUAGGAUAAAAUAUUUGUAAAUCAUAUAUUUGAUAAAAGUCUUGUAACCAGAUACAUAAAGAGCUCUUACAACUCAAUAAAAGGCAAGUAAUUUAAAAAUAGGCAAAAGAAUUGCUGGAUGGUAUGGUAGUUCUAUUUUUAGUUUUUACCCUAACUACUCUGACUUGAUCAUUUAACAUUCUGUGUAUGUAACAAAAUAUCACAUGCAUAAAUAUUAUGUAUCAAUAAAAUUUUUUAAUGGGCAAA
rnacentral:lncRNA from 10 species